ACCUUAAAAAAAAAAGCUUAAAAAUAAACCUCUGUAUUAUCUGCCAAAAUUAUUUAAAAAACAAAACGAUUCUGCCAAGCAUAGUAAUACAAACAGUGAGCUGCAACAGUGAGAGAUUUCAUUUAAACUUUGGUGUAGCCACAGCCUGUGUGAUAUGUAGACACAAACCAGGCAUGUCAAGAACUGGUUACAAAUAUAGUUAAAACUUGUAUUGUGGACAGGUUUAAGGGCACUUAGAAAUGGCAUAUAGACCUCUUUUUUGUUUUAAUAUUCAUAUAUAUAAACUGCCAAACUAUUUGUAUUUGGGGAAAAUACUCACUUGAGUAUGCAACACAACUGUUAGGCAUUCACUCCUUACUAUGAAAUACUGGCUACUAUUUAUACUAUAUAUUAAUUAAUAAUGAUGAUUUUCCUGGGUUUCAUAUUUCAGCUGUUUCAGAUUGUACGUAAUGGAAAUUUGACACAAAGGCUGACCAUGUGGAUCUGAAUCUCUUUCAUAAAAAAUUGCUAACUGAUAUCAGUGUUUUAUUUUACUAGAGUCAAAUUGAAUUCCUUAGCUUCAGGUUUGUGCUAAGUCUGAAAAAAAAAAAAUCACAACACUAACUAAGAGUUUAAAAUACUCUCCAGUAGUUUAUGGGGAGGUUAUUUUGAAGUGACAUUUACAGUAUUUUUUUAGUCUAUAUUACACAGUCUUAGUGGGCUGAAUUCUGCUCUCUGAUAGGUGUGUGCAUUUGCCCUCUGUAAUAAUUUUUGCAAAUAAGGAUAAUUUAUUACCGUAUUUAUUUCAAUCAAGUUUGCACAACACAGUUGUAAGGCAGUGUGAUCUUUGAUGGAGUAGGUGUAGCAGGGAAAUGGAAGUCUGAACUUGGCUCUCCCACUAACAGUCACUCAAUUUCUAUGUUUGUUUUCCCAUUUGGAAUAAUCUUCUUCUACUGGAGAGGUGUUAUGAAGCUUAAUUCAUAAGGGAUUUAAGAUCCUUGGAUGAAAAGCACUAUAGAAUUGCAGAGUAUUUUUUAAUAAAGUAAAAAUAAGAUGAUUGCCAGUAUGUCUUUUAAAUAAGCUUUCCUAUCUGAGCAGCUUGCUCAAUAGAUUAAUUGUAUAUUUCUUUACUUUUUUAACUAUAAAAAGCCUCUCUUUGAGGUGAUUGGAAGUUUUAAUUUCAGUGAAUCUUUGUGUCGUAAGAAUAGAGCUUAGUAACACUUUAUAAUAUUGUAGUAUACCAAAUGUACUAAUACACAGAAAUGUAAAAUAUUCUUGCAUGUUUUAAGGGUAGUGCUGUAUCUACAGAAGUACAGUGUUUUUCAGAUGUGGCCACAUGCGGUCACCAGAGUGUUUUCCUGUGGCCAUGACAGCCACCUGGGCAGAGAUGGGGGAGGGGUCAAACAGAAGCCCCUUCCUGCAGUGUCCAGGUGCUCCAGGAGAGGACAUCCCCUCUCCUCCUUCAGCUACAGGACUCCAGAGGUUGCCUUCAGCCCCCCCUGGGGCUCUCGCAGUGGGCUCCAUGCUUCAGACCCUCCCCCUGCCAAUCUUCAGCUGGGGGGCUCUGGGUUUCAUCCCUCCCCUGGCUGAUGAGGCUUCAGGCCCCCUCCCACCCUCCCUUGACUCCAGCUCUGGGCUUCAGCCCAGGGCAAUGGGGCUUCAGCAGGGCUGGCCUUACCAGGCAUCGUGGUCAAGAGGCAUGGAGUGGGAUAAGCCUGGGGUGUGAGGCCUGGAGGGAGUGAUUGGGAGCCUGGGGAGGGAUCUGGGGGUGGUAGCAGGGGCUGAGACACCAAAAUACAACUGUAUGUUAUUUUUAUUAUUGAGUCUGGAACCCUCCAUAAAUAAAUUACAAUGAUUUGGACAUGCA